GGGACGGAGCUCAGGCCCCGCCGGAGACGCGCUCGAUGGGGAAACUGAGGCACAGAGAGGUGCAGUGAUUUGCCCAAGGUCACCCAGCUGGCCAGUGACAGCGUCAGGAAUAGAACAAAGGCUCAGGCAUGGAAGCGUUAUUCCUCAAGGCCAUCACGCCAAACACUGCUGACAAAACCAGACCGAUGUAACAUUAGAUUUACAGUCACCACAGAAAGGGAGAGAGACGUUUCAAAACGAUUUCCAUAAACACUUUUGAUAAGAAAUGCUUAGUGAUGCUUCAGCUCUGGAGCACCUGCACACAGGGCUGGUUUCCAGCCCCAGCCAUGGUGAGGAUGGCCUGCCAGGGGCAAGCAGGGAAAGGCUGAUCUGUUGCAUUUCAAUCUCUAUUCCAAGACUAUGAGUAUAGGGCAAUGGCACUGAAUAUUGGCACUAUUUUCCACAGGCGGUGGUGGUUCUAACUGAUGUCUCACUCCGGAGGGUUACAAAGGCACAGAGAGAAAAGCCUGAUACACUUAUCAUGAGACCCCUUUCUCUGCUGGUGUAAAGAGGCCAAGAAGUCACCAUAACGGAUUAUCAGUGAAUUUCCCUAUUGUAAGGGGUCUUCUCAUGUGGUGUAGAACAAGCUGUCAAUUCCCCUGUCACCCUUCAGCCUUCCCACAGGCCUGUUCUGGUCAUUCCCUCUGCAGCAUCUGGCACCAGUCACUGUCAGAAGGAUACUGAGCUAGAUGGACCCUUGGUCUGAUCUACUAUGGCCGUUCUUACGUAUGCUUUAUUUUCAGGGUGGGGGCAUUCCUGGGGAAAGAGGGUGUGGCUGGAUUGCAAUCCUCAAGCUAUUCUUGACAACUUGUUUGGGGCUAGCCCAGUGCAGAGCUCCAACUUUGCUGUGGUCACCCCAAGAACCCCGCAGUGCCAAUUGGCAAAGGAUUCACUGUUCUGUACGGUUCCUGUCAGGCCUGACAGACUCAUUACACCUCUCAUGCUGCUUUCAUAGUGUAGCAAUGCAGUGACUCACCAGCACGGUGUCUCUUGCUGGUCAUCCAGAAAAUUAGAUUUUCCAGCCUUGGCGCACCCUCUGCUGGCCAAUGUCCCCACCCAGGGGAACCCCCAACCCUCUACCCCCACCUCACCUCAGUGACUACUGCAGUCACCACCUAGCUCCCACUCAUUGGGGCAGACUGCAGUC